UUUAGAACUCGAGAUAUGGGAUGAACACUGAACAGUAUCUGGGCUGCAGGAUAGAUUCUGACCUCUCUUUUGUUGCUAUAAUUUGAACUUGAAAAUGGCCCUUUUGAAUCUUGGACUCUUCAUCUAGGUUUUAGGCCUAUGUCUUAGCUUUCUAUC
rfam:Populus trichocarpa isolate Nisqually-1 chromosome 5, whole genome shotgun sequence.